AACGAACGCUGGCGGCAUGCCUAACACAUGCAGGUCGAACGAGACCUUCGGGCUUAGUGGCGCAUGGGGGCGUAACGCGUGGGGACCUGCCCUUAGGUUCGGAAUAACUCCCCGAAAGGGGUGCUAAUACCGGAUAAUGUAUUCCGACCAAAGAUUUAUCGCCUUUGGAUGGGCCCGGGUUGGAUUAGCUAGUUGGUAGGGUAAAAGCCUACCAAGGCGACGAUCCAUAGCUGGUCUGAGAGGAUGAUCCGCCACACUGGGACUGGGACACGGCCCAGACUCCUACGCAAGGGGGCAGUGGGGAAUAUUGGACAGUGGGCGGAAGCCUGAUCCAGCAAUGCCGCGUAAGUGAUGAAGGCCGUAGGGUUGUAAAGCUCUUUUACCCGGGAUGAUAAUGACGGUACCGGGAGAAUAAGCACCGGCUAACUCCGUG
rnacentral:rRNA from 1 species